UACACGGGCAGAUACUCAGCGUAACAGCACAGCAGACAACGAUCAGGCAAGGGCAGAAUCGAGUCACGGAAACAAGGUCGAGGAAACCGGGGAAUCAAACGCUAACCCUAACCCAGAGGUUGUAUGUGGAGGUGCGGACAGAAGGAGUCGAUAGAAGGCAGAUCUCUUCUGUUGUGGACUCUUGUUGGGCGACGCCGGUCAACCUCGCCAGCUACCCCGUCCGCUGGGAUCUCAUAAGUGCAGAGUAUCCUAACCCAGCAGAUGGUACAGUAGAGCUGCUUCAGAAUGGCAUCUCAACUGUGUCCCGAUUCUCCUUUGAGAUAUUCACCUUUACCAACUUUUCAUCCAUCUACCUGCACUGCCAGGUCCACCUGUAUCUUUUGAGACACAACAACUGCACAGCUGAUUGCACCCCGGGGUACCACAGUCGAGUUGAGAGGGACGUAUCCUACCAUGCCACCACUGACAUCUCACUUGGACCACUAACCUUGCUGCCAAAUAGUAAAGGUAAAGCUCUCUUAUCUUCUUAUAACUUUUUAUACUUUUGAUGACACAGAGUUUGAAGAAUACAUUUUAUGUAAACUUUGGUUCUUCUCUUGCAACCGAAUGGUGUAACCGAGCAGUGUUUCAGGCCAGUUGACCUCACUGGUGACCUUGCUCGUCAGUUUGCUGGCAGCCAAAACUCUGACCUAAGGCGAUCAAAGAUGAUCCAUGUUCUUAAAUCACUUAACAUGCAUUUGUAUUUCUAUUCUAGGCCUUGUCCUUGAGUUGUGUUUUAUAUUUGUGGUGAGGUAAAAGGUAGAAGUUAUUUAGCUAUACAACAGUAGGGGACGCCAAUGUGCAGCAUACAAUACUUACUGUAUGUUGAAGUCAUUAUAGGAU